UAGAAUUAUCUUGUGCUAUCUCCAAUUUUUGAAAAAAUUGAGAUUUUAUUAUUUUCGAAUAUUUUAGCAUUGUGUUGUUCUACUUUAAUUAUAUUGAAAAAAAAUGAAACUUUUAACACGGUAUUGCAAGCAAUAUUGCAUUGUUCUAUCUCCUUAAUGAGCAAACUUGAAAAUAUUAUCUUGUUCUAUCUCCAAUCAACCAAUCAUAUUACAGUUACAAAGUUGUUCGGAAUAAUUUUAUCAGUUUUGUUGUUUUCAAAAUGGCAACUGCAAAUAUUGACCAAGAAAUGGAACCUGCCCUAAAUCAAAACGAAGAGCUGCUUGGCAUUACACCUUCUCGUCAAUCGCCCCAUGGUGGGGUUUCUAGGAAACGUAAAGCUGAUAGGAGUAGUUGGAAACAAAGUGUAAGAAAAAUCCAACGUCAGUCGGGUAAAGCUUAUAAAAAUACGAAAG